AAUGAACGCUGGCGGCAUGCCUAACACAUGCAAGUCGAACGAACGCACAGUAAGAGCUCGCUCCUGCGGGUGGCGCGUGGCGGACGGGUGACGCAUGCAUAGGAUACCUCUAUUUCGUGGGUGAUAACGUGGGACAAUUUCUGCUAAUACAGCAUAUGUCGUACGGGUGAAAGCAGGAGUUCUUCGCACUUUUCGCGAUAGUAUGAGCCGAUGUCGGAUUAGCUAGUUGGCGAGGUAAAGGCACACCACGGCGACGAUACGUAGCUGGUCUGACAGGAUGAUCAGCCACACUGGAACUGAGACACGGUCCAGACUCCUACGGGAGGCAGCAGUAGGGAAUAUUGCGCAAUGGGCGCAAGCCUGAUCCAGCAAUACCGCGUGAGUGAUGAAGGCCUUCGGGUUGUAAAGCCCUGUUGUUGGGAAAGAAAAUAAGCAGGUUAAUACGCGGCCAUUCUGACGGUACCCAAAGAAUAAGCACCGGCUAACUUCGUG
rnacentral:rRNA from 1 species